rnacentral:rRNA from 1 species
AGUAGUUUGAUCCUGGCUCAGAGCGAACGCUGGCGGCAGGCUUAACACAUGCAAGUCGAGCGGGCGUAGCAAUACGUCAGCGGCAGACGGGUGAGUAACGCGUGGGAACGUACCUUUUGGUUCGGAACAACACAGGGAAACUUGUGCUAAUACCGGAUAAGCCCUUACGGGGAAAGAUUUAUCGCCGAAAGAUCGGCCCGCGUCUGAUUAGCUAGUUGGUGAGGUAACGGCUCACCAAGGCGACGAUCAGUAGCUGGUCUGAGAGGAUGAUCAGCCACAUUGGGACUGAGACACGGCCCAAACUCCUACGGGAGGCAGCAGUGGGGAAUAUUGGACAAUGGGCGCAAGCCUGAUCCAGCCAUGCCGCGUGAGUGAUGAAGGCCCUAGGGUUGUAAAGCUCUUUUGUGCGGGAAGAUAAUGACGGUACCGCAAGAAUAAGCCCCGGCUAACUUCGUG